GACGAACGCUGGCGGCGUGCUUAACACAUGCAAGUCGAACGGAAAGGCCCUGCUUUUGUGGGGUUGUCGAUUGGCGAACGGGGGAGUAACACGUGAGUAACCUGCCCUUGACUUUGGGAGAACACCAGGAAACUGGGGCUAAUACCGGAGAUGAGCUCCUGCUGCAUGUGGGGGGUUGGAAAGUGUCGGCGGUUGGGGAUGGACUCGCGGCUUAUCAGCUGGUUGGUGGGGUAGUGGCGUACCAAGGGUUUGACGGGUAGCCGGCCUGAGAGGGUGACCGGCCACAUUGGGACUGAGAUACGGAGCAGAAUCCUACGGGAGGCAGCAGUGGGGAAUAUUACACAAUGGGCGGACGCCUGAUGCAGCAACGCCGCGUGCGGGAUGACGGGCUUCGGGUUGUAAACCGCUUUCGCCUGUGACGAAGCGUGCGUGACGGUAAUGGGUAAAGAAGCAACGGCUAACUACGUG
rnacentral:rRNA from 1 species